UAAGCGGAGGAAAAGAAACUAACAAGGAUUCCCCUAGUAACGGCGAGUGAAGCGGGAAGAGCUCAAAUUUGAAAGCUGGCAGCAAUGUCCGCGUUGUAAUCUCGAGACGUGUUUUCCGUGCUGGACCGUGGACAAGUUUCCUGGAAUGGAAUGUCAUAGAGGGUGAAAACCCCGUACUUGCCGCGGACGCCCAGUGCUUUGUGAUGCGCGUUCGAAGAGUCGAGUUGUUUGGGAAUGCAGCUCAAAAUGGGUGGUAAAUUCCAUCUAAAGCUAAAUAUUGGGGAGAGACCGAUAGCAAACAAGUACCGUGAGGGAAAGAUGAAAAGCACUUUGGAAAGAGAGUUAAACAGUACGUGAAAUUGUCAAAAGGGAAGCAUUGGAAGUCAGACGUGCAUGCAGUACUCAGCCUGGCUUUGGCUUGGUGUAUUUGCUGUUUUGCAGGCCAACAUCGAUUUUUGGCAACGGAUAAGGGUAGAGAGAAUGUGGCCUCCCCGGAGGUGUUAUAGCUCUCUACUGGAUACGUUGCCGGGGAUCGAGGAACGCAGCGUCCCCGCAAGGGCAGGUCUUCGGACACUUUGACGCUUAGGAUGUUGGCGUAAUGGCUUUCAAUGACCCGUCUUGAAACACGGACCAAGGAGUCUAACAUGUCUGCGAGUCUUUGGGUGGCAAACCCAUGGGCGCAAUGAAAGUGAAUGCAGGUGGGAUCCCGCAAGGGUGCACCAUCGACCGAUCCAGAUCUUCUGUGACGGAUUUGAGUAAGAGCAUAUAUGUUGGGACCCGAAAGAUGGUGAACUAUGCCUGAAUAGGGCGAAGCCAGAGGAAACUCUGGUGGAGGCUCGUAGCGGUUCUGACGUGCAAAUCGAUCGUCAAAUUUGGGUAUAGGGGCGAAAGACUAAUCGAACCAU
rnacentral:rRNA from 1 species